GGAGGGUGCAAGCGUUAUCCGGAUUCAUUGGGUUUAAAGGGUGCGUAGGCGGAUAAAUAAGUCAGUGGUGAAAGCCCACAGCUCAACUGUGGAACUGCCAUUGAUACUGUUUAUCUUGAAUAUAUUUGAAGUAGGCGGAAUAUGUAGUGUAGCGGUGAAAUGCAUAGAUAUUACAUGGAACACCAAUUGCGAAGGCAGCUUACUAAGAUAUUAUUGACGCUGAGGCACGAAAGCGUGGGUAGCGAACAGGAUUAGAUACCCUGGUAGUCCCACGCCCGUAAACUAUGUUCACUCGGUGCUUGUCCAAAAGGAUGAGUGCCCAAGCGAAAGUAUUAAGUGAACCCACCUGGGAGUACGCUCGCAAGAGUGA
rnacentral:rRNA from 1 species